rnacentral:lncRNA from 10 species
GUACACAUCCAGAUGGCCGGUUUCUGCCUUAAUUGAUGACAUUCCACCACAAAAGAAGGGAAAAUGGCCUGUUCCUGCCUUAACUGAUGACAUUAUCUUGUGAAGUUCCUUCUCCUGGCUCAUCCUGGCUCAAAAGCUCCCCUAUGGAGCACCUUGUGACCCCUACUCCUGCCCACCAGAGAACAACCCCCCUUUUUCCUUUAACUACCCAAAUCCUAUAAAACGGCCCCACCCGAUCUCCCUUUGCUGACUCUCUUUUCGGACUCAGCCCCCCUGCACCCAGGUGAAAUAAACAGCUUUAUUGCUCACACAAAGCCUGUUUGGUGGUCUCUUCACAGGGACGCGAGUGAAAGUAUCCUCACAUGGCAGAAAGAGAAAUAAAGAGGGCUCAUGAGUGCCCUGCCCUCACGGCUUCAUCUAAACAUAAUUACCUCCAAGGACUCUGCCUUCAAAUACCAUCACAUUGGAGGUUGCAUGUAGAGAUGAACCCCCAGUGGAUUCCUGUGAUGUCCUUUGCAGCAGUGUCAACAGUGAAGUCCCAGAUGACACGACUGGCAAGGAUCUGAGGUUACUACGGUAUCCGGUGGUUAGUGGUCAUUUUGGAGGUUAUGUACAGACUACUAAUAACUUGCUCUCACUAUUGGAGCUGGAGAAGAACUUAAGAAAAAAAUAAAUGCAAAUUAUACCAUAUACUCUUAAAGAACUUCACAAACAGAUGGUUUAUCUUCCCAACACCCAGAAAAAGUAGGCCACAGAACAUGGAUGAAGCUGGAAACCAUCAUUCUCAGCAAACUAACAGAGGAACAGAAAAGCAAACACCGUAUGUUCUCACUCAUGAUUGGGAGUUGAACAAUGAGAACACAUGGACACAGGGAGGGGAAUAUUACACACCGGGGCCUAUCAGAGCGUGGGAGGCUACGAGAGGGAUAGCAUUAGGAGAAAUACCUAAUGUAGAUGACGGGUUGAUGGGUGCAGCAAACCACCAUGGCUCAUGUAUACCCAUGUAACAGACCUACACAUUCUGCACAUGUAUCCCAGAACUUAAAGUAUGAUUUAAAAAUAUAUAUAGAGAGAGAGAUAUAUAAAUUGCUGAGAGUGGAUUUUAAGUGUUCUCACCACACAACAAAAUAAGUAUGUGAAGUAAACAUAUAUUAGUUAGCUUGAUUUAGCCAUUUCACACUAUAUAAAUAUUUCAAAACAACAUGUUGCACACUAUAGACAAUUUUUAUUGGUCAACUAAAAAUAAAAUUUUUAAAGGGAGAAAAUAAGAGAGAAUUGGCAUCAGGGUUGCAAAGGAAUGAAUAAAUACAUGGGCCAUGAAAAACUGAUCAAUAUAAGGGUUUGAGAGGAAGGUGAACAGUUUGCAAAGUUGUAACUUUGAAAGAUCUCCCUUAUUAAUUUAUUUGCUCGUUUAAAAGAGUCAGGGUACAAUGGAAUAUUCAACUUAAUCUAGAAGAGGUAGAGUGGACUGAAAUUAAUUUCCCUCUAACAUGCAUUUGUUGCUCUAAUCAACUAUCUAGAGCUACACAAAAUACAUACGAUUUUCUAAAAUUAUUUAAAUUCUUGAAGGUAAAUGCCAUUUCUUCUCUUAUAGAUGAUAGACCUUCAGACUUUCACAUGACUCUUUAUAAAUAGUCCCCAUGCUCAAAACGACAAACACCACUCUCUUAGAUUUCAACUUAGCAAGGCAUCCCAAACUAAACUUCACAUCCAAGGGAGAAGGCAAAUGAAGGAGAGUAAUGACCAGCUAUUUGUUUGAGACAAUAGGUACAUUCAUCAGAUUACCUCCAAACAUCAGCCAAGGGAUUUUAGUUUGGAACAAAGAUAGUUGGAAUAUUAAUUAUUUUCAAAUGGUGGAAGAGCUGCCAUAGAGAAUUAGAGAAAAUUUUAAACUAGAAGUUUGCAAAAAAUAUAUUCAAAUAAUAGCUUUGUUUUUAUUCUAAAAUGUGACCUUGGCUAAGCCACAUAAUCUCUCUGGGUCUCUGUAUGUGGGAGCUACUGAUAAUACCUGUAUCUCUGUUUCAGGUGAUGAUCAAAAUGCCUAUUUUGUGAUUUGUGAAAUGAAAUGUGCUGUAGGCAUGUAAGGUGAUUUUUACAAAUAAUUAUUUUCUUGUUGUUUUUGAAGUUCCAGAGUACAGGAAAGGAAACAGGAAAAACAUAACUGAGGAAUAGUUGUUAGGUCGGUGAGACAUUGAACCUUCUAACAUCUGAAACUGUCCACUAACUGGCAAGAGCAUUUCAAUAAAAAGCAAACACCUCAUCAUAUUGAAUCAUAGUGAAUAUAUAAAAAGACACUGUACACAUUUCUUCAGAUAUACAUACUGUAAUUGUCAUUCUAAAUUGUUAAAAAAUUACUAUAUAUAGUAAUUCUAAAAUAUAUAAUAUAUAAUACAUAAAUAUAUAUUAUAUAUAUAAAUUAUAUAUAUAUACACACAUAUAUAUUAGAAUGGAUUUCACACUGGGUUUUACUCCCAUUAUGUGAUGCAUAAAAAAGUAAACAACAAUAAAACAGUUAAAUUAAUGAGCUUGGUUGGUUUUCAAAACAUGUUAGGCCCAAUAUGUUAGAGAAUUAAUAUAGGGAUUUUAAAAAUGUGUUAAACUCAACAUGUUCUUACUAAUAACAGGGGAUUUCUGAUAUCAAGGACCAGUUAAUGUGGUUAAUAUUUUGUAUUAGAAGGAAAGGGAAGAGAUGUGCUGGGCAAAAGAGGAAAAUAUAGAUUUUUUAAAAAUAAAUAGAAAUCUGAGCUAAUAUUAAUAAGGGUAAAAAAGGAAAAAGUGAUAACAUCAUGUGGAACAUUCCAGAAGUUAUGUGCAGGGCUCAGUAUGGGGGCAACACAUCAAUAGCAUAUAUAUACAAGGCCAACCUCUUCCUCUCCAUUCCCAGAAAUCUAGUAGUGGGGCACUGUAUGUGUACAGGUAACAUGUUAAAUAGAUAGGCUGUGCUGGAUGCUAUGGUUGCAGAAUGUGGUUGAAGAAGAAUUGCGAAGCCAACAAAGCAAGGGUUGGGGCAGAGUUUAUGAGUUAUAUGAAGUUUGUGUGGGGACUGAGAAUUCUGGAUUUUAGACAUCCUGUGUCCUGCAUGGCAACUCCUCCACCCCCACCAGUCAUGUCAGGUGGAGGCCACUAUAGCAGAUAUAGUACGCCUACAUUAAGGGAAGGAGGUAGUUCUACGUAAUGAAAACUCACUUUCCAAGUUGACCCUUCUUAAUCCUCUGCUGGAAAACCAGUGUACUGUGAUACCCAAGGGCAUGGUUUUAUCCUUUGGUGCCACUAUUCAUCAUAUCCUCAUUGCAUUGGAAAAAUUAAUUGAUUACUCUUGACUUCACUUUUCUGUCAAAUUAAAAUUCCAUUACCAUUCAUUUGAAAAGAUCUGAUGUGGUUUAAGUGAGAUUAUAUAGUGUGUGGAUCAUUGCUCAGCAUGUGAUAAGCACUCAGACAUUUUAGCUAAAUGAAAACAACACUAAUACCAGUACUACUAAAACUGAGCCCUAAAGUAAUCACCUGAGUUUUAUUUAAACAAAAACAUAAUUUUCUUCCAUCUUUCUGUAAAAUUGUUCAACAAGAAAAUAUUAACAUUCAUAGAUGAUUUCAGAGUUUAUAGGAACUUUUGCAUACAGCUCACUUAUCAGAGCAACUCAGUUGGAUCCUGUUAUUAAUUUCCUCACUUUAGAAAUGAAGGGACUGAGAUCAAGAAAAGGAAGUGACUUGCUCAAGGAUACAUAUACAACAAGUAACCAUGCUAAGAAUUCUCAUUUGAUGUGCGAUUUCCCCCAAUCAGUGACUAUAGAUAUAUAUAGAUACAUAGAUGUGUAUAUAUAUAGAUGAUAGAUAGAUACGUAGAUGGGGAUACAGAUACUACACCUGUGUAUACCAUAUCUAUGUAUGUUUAUAUGCUAUUUGUAUGUUCCACUUCGGAUAUCUUCUCACAUUCAGAUAUCUAGUGUCCACAUGUUUUUUUCCCUGGAUUCCUCUCGAAACAUAAUCAUAUGGCAAAUAAAGUGAGUUCUGCAAUAAACUUUAAGAUUUAAUAUAAUACAUUUUCAGGGAGGGUGUGGGCAGAAAAAUUGUGUGGCUUUAAGUUUUCUUAGCAAAUAAGUGACUUCCCUCCUAAGAUGCAGCUGCUUUUCUUCAUUUUUUGUAACUGUUUUAUGUUUCACGAAAUUGCUCUGUCCUGAUUUUAACUGUGUCAUAUUCCAGCUCUCAGAGGGUAGCCAAAAUUUGGAAACAAAAUGUUGUUUUGCUAAUUCCCAUUUGUUCUGAGAUUUCUCAUUUGCUUAUACAUGACCACAUUUAACUUUAUAGCCUUCAGAAUUUUCCUUAUCAGGAUUUUUAACUUCUUGCUCGAUCAGCCCCAAAUCUGGGACAUUUGGGUAGGAUUUUAUUGACUAUACCCAGAAUAUAUUAAUAGUUUCUACAUUAAGGGAAAAAACAACUUAAUAAGACAAUUGCUAAUGAUAAGACCAGGUAAUUUGUAAAAGCAUACAUGGGAGACAUUUGACAAAAUACAAAUGCACUAGAAAUGAAGGCUAUAUAAAUUAAAGAAGCAGUUAGAUUCAAUUUUUAAUCUACAAGAUGAGAGGUUUUAAAAUAAAUUUAAAAAAUUAAAAUGAUCAUAUUUUGGGGGGGAAAGAUGUUCACUAAUACACGAAGAUAGGAAUACAAAUUUCAGAAGUACUUAUAAAAAGGAAUAUAUCAUCAUUUUUAAAUCCAAAAUAUGCUCACCUUUAAAUUUAUAAAUUCAUUUUCAUAAUAGAUACAUUUGACAAUCAAUUAGAUAUUUCUCUCCUACCUUCCUGUCUUAUCCUCUGUGUUCUCACUGGGAGAAGAGACAAGCUAAGGAAAGAAGAUGGGAAAAUGUUUCCAAUUUUAUUUGAAAGGGAAAAAUCCCUAUGAAAACAAUUACUAUGCUGCACAAAUUGUAAUCCACACUCAAAACGGAAGGCUGUGGAUCAAGCUCUCCCAGUCCUGUAUGUUUAUUUCCAUGUGUCUUAGGUGUGCAGAACAACUGUCAAUAGAUGGUGUCGGCUGGGCAUGGUGGCUCACGCCUAUAAUCCCAGCACAGAUCACUUAAGGUCAGGAGUCCAAGACCAGCCUGGCCAAUAUGGUGAAACCCCAUCUCUACUAAAAAUACAAAAAUUAGCCAGGUAUAGUGGCGGGCACCUGUAAUCCCAGCUGCUCUGGAGGCUGAGGGAGGAGAAUCACUUGAACCCAGGGAGCAGAAGUUGCAGUGAGCUGAGACUGCAGCACCACUGCACUCCAGCCUGGGUGUCGCAGUGAGACUCUGUCUUAAAAAAAAAAAAAAAAAAGAAAAAAAAAAAGAAAGAAAAGAAAAGAAAAAUAGAUGGUGUCAGUUGUUCCUCUAAAGAAUUUUAUACGACCCACAGACUUUCUCUGAUCUGUCGCUGGCAUACAUAAUGCUACCUAUUAAAACUAAUUAGUUGUGCUCCUUUGGUAUAAUUAAUAAGCAAUAACCACACUGUUGUUUGAGGAUGCUAACAUUUUAAUGUCCUCUUGUUAUCAGCCUCACUUGGAUACUGAGGAGUAUAAUGGUUCCACAGAGUCAUAAAGUAGUCAGGACCCUUUUUAGCUUUAUUGUUAUUGCCAACUCUAGCCUAUUUUUGACUGUGGUGUUGAACCAUUUCAGAUAAUUGAGAUAGUUACAGGCACUGGGUAAGAAAUAGUUAUGACAUGAAUGUGAAUACAAGGUGAUUACAUUUAUUGCCUGUGUCUUCACAAUUAGAAUGAGAAAUUUAAGAUACGAAAUUUAGCUCAAACGAUUCUGGCUCUUUAAGCUAAUUAAAUACCCUGAAGUCUCCUAAAGCCUUAUUUUGAUACUCAUUAGUGGACAGAGAAGUUUGGGAUACCCCAAGAUGUGCUAGUUCCCUGUAGUCUAGAAUAAAACAGAAGUCUAAUCCACCCAUUCAACAUGUACUCACUAAGUAUAUGACACUAAGUGCUGGGCUCUUUCUUGAUAAUUGAAAAUAUUGUCUCCACUUACAUGUAGCUUUCAGAAAACAUCAUAGACUCUCAAAAUUAGAGACAGAAUUAAAAGGUAUCUAGUUCAACUCUCAUUGAAUCCUUGAGUAGCAAACCCGAAGACCUCAUCUAGUAGCUUUUCAGCCUGGAAUUUGACAUCUCAAGCUUUGUUUAACCUUACAGUUUUCUUUGGGGCAUUGCAAGAGGUCUGCCUCUUCUUUCACAGGGAUAUGUUCCGUUAUUAUGCAAACCCAACCUGAUUUCUCACAUGCCUGUUCAUUCUGCUGUUUACUGUAUAACAUGAUUUUGAAUCCUUCCAGGACUCUUCCUGUUUGGGUCUGUAUGUUUGUCUGUGGGUCUGUAUGGCUUCUUAAGUCUGAUGUCUAAAAUGGAAUUCAGUUGUCUUGCCAUGAUUCUUUCAAUAGAGAGAGGGACUAUUGGACUAUGAACACAUCCUUUAUUCAAGAUAGUAUCUUUUAAAUGUAAACCAAGUUCACCUUGGAAUAAAGGAAAAAGAAAACAACAUAUAAACAUUGACAUAGAAAUUAGUCUGUCAAGGGAAUCACUUCAACUCUCCCAUGAGGAGAUUCACCUCAUGUAUCACUGUGCUGACAACAGAGAGUGGGCACUCUGCUGGAGUAUCAGAGAUCACUUCCCUAGAGAAGUCAGCUUAGCUGGGCCUUAACAAUGGGGAUACACUUCAAAGAAUAAAAGAUUUUAAUGAAUAGAGAACUUUACAAAAUGUCAAAUACCAAAGAUAAGAGGUGGAAGUGCUACUUUGAAUUAUCCAAAAAGACAAGUAAUCAAAAUCAGAAUGCACUGACUCACCUGAGAUGUACAAGGCCCUCUUGUCCUCCAGAAAGUUGGAGUCUACCAGUAAUAAGGACAUGUAGACAUCUUGUUCACACAAACCAGAGCAGGUCAUUGUUAACUGUGCCUCUUAUGGCAGCACUGAGCUAAUAGUGGUUAAUUCUCCCUGGAGAAAAUUGGAAAUGGCUUCCCAGAAGGUGAAAACUAGUGCCAAUUAUAAACAAUAGCUAAAAUAUAUUCUAUAUUUAUAUUGUGCCAGCAUUGUGCUAAAAGUAAUAUGUGUCACUUUUUAUUUCUUGCCCAGAUUCUAAUACAGAGCUAUUAUUCCUUCCUUCCCUCCCUCCCUCCUUCCCUUUCUUUCCUUCUUUCCUCCCUCCCUUCCUUCCUUCAUAUAUGUAAUAUGAAUGUACUCAAUCUAAUACAUUCUGUUAUAGAUAAGGAAAGUUGAGGUUUUAGAGAUAUAAACCUGGUAUAUAACUUACCAGGGUCCCAAAGCAAGCCAGUGGCAUAAUAAGUAAGAACACAGACAGUUUGACUCAAGAGUCUUCAGUCACUGCUACAUAACACUAAUCUCGUGUUAUGCUUGGCCAAUUCAUAACCAGUGGUUUAUGGGCUUGUCAUUAACUUUCCAUUUACCUGAAAUUAGUUUUGACACUGAAUUAUGGCUUCAAGUUAACUGAGGAGUUUCUGCCAACAGAAAACAAAAUUCCUCCUAAUGUUGAUAAAGGGCUGUUACGUUGACUCUCUUGAUUCACUUGUGCUCUACAACUUUGCUAUUCAGUGUUGUGUGAAUUACAGCCAUCACCAUCUCCUGUGAGCUUGUUAGAAAUGGAGAACAUUGGGCCCCACCACGGUUACACUGAACUAGGAUUUGCACUCUAACAAGACCACCAGGUAUGUUGCUAUAAACUGACAUGCAUUAUCUGGGAAGACUUCCACUCCACAGAUGCUGCUGAUGUAUAGGGGCGGUGAGCACAACAGCAGAUUCAGCCUAACCAGGCUCAUGUGCUCAGGAAUGGACCAGACUACCAACUGACACAAAGCUAAAAAUAUCAAGGCUUAAUUUGAUUUACUUUACUUUAAAGUACUGAAUUUAUGAUAAUACCACUAAGACCAAUAGUGUUAACGGAAACAAUCACAGUUAAUUUUAUUGGUUGAUUAUUAUGUUCCAUCCCGACAGAGUGUGCUAGGAAUGUAGAGAUUAAUCAGACCUCCUCUCAGUCAACAAGGCAUUUGUGGUGGUGUGGCAUCAGAUAAGAUUGUAACUCUUGGCCGGGCGCGGUGGCUCACGCCUGUAAUCCC